UACGGAGGGUGCAAGCAUUAAUCGGAUUUAUUGGGCGUAAAGGGCGCGUAGGCGGAGAUAUUAGUCAGAUGUGAAAUCCUGGGGCUCAACCUCAGAACUGCAUUUGAAACUGUAUCUCUAGAGGGUAGGCGGAGAAAACGGAAUUCCACAAGUAGCGGUGAAAUGCGUAGAUAUGUGGAAGAACACCGGUGGCGAAGGCGGUUUUCUAGCUUAUUCCUGACGCUGAGGCGCGAAAGCGUGGGGAGCAAACAGG
rnacentral:rRNA from 1 species